CCGUUUGAGAGAAGGGAUGACACAGUAGGAUAAGCUAAGCACACUGUUGGUUAUGUGUGCCCAAGCAUUGAGGCAGUCAAAGUAGGCAAAUCCGCUUUGAUAAUGCUGGGAUGUGAUGGGGAGCGAAAUUUAGUAGCGAAGUAGCUGAUUUCACACUGUCAAGAAAAGUCUCUAUCGAGGUUAAAGGUACCCGUACCGCAAACCGACACAGGUGGGUGAGGAGAGUAUCCUAAGGCCAGCGAGAGAACUGUUGUUAAGGAACUCGGCAAAAUGACCCCGUAACUUAGGGAUAAGGGGUGCCACCAUCAGGUGGCCGCAGAGAAUAGGCCCAAGCGACUGUUUACCAAAAACAUAGGUUUCUGCUAAGUCGCAAGACGAUGUAUAGGAGCUGACGCCUGCCCGGUGCUGGAAGGUUAAGGGGAUCUGUUAGAGCAAUCGAAGCAGUGAACUUAAGCCCCAGUAAACGGCGGCCGUAACUAUAACGGUCCUAAGGUAGCGAAAUUCCUUGUCGGGUAAGUUCCGACCCGCACGAAAGGCGUAACGAUUUGGGCACUGUCUCAACAACAGACUCGGUGAAAUUGUAAUUCCGGUGAAGAUGCCGGAUACCUGCGACAGGACGGAAAGACCCCAUGGAGCUUUACUGUAGCUUGACAUUGGGUCUUGGUACUACAUGUACAGGAUAGGUGGGAGGCUUUGAAACCAGGACGCCAGUUUUGGCGGAGCCAUCCUUGGGAUACCACCCUUGUAGUACUGGGACUCUAACCAUAGGCCAUGAAUCUGGUCUUGGGACACUGUCAGGUGGGCAGUUUGACUGGGGCGGUCGCCUCCCAAAAGGUAACGGAGGCGCUCAAAGGUUCUCUCAGUACGGUCGGAAAUCGUACGUAGAGUGUAAAGGCAAAAGAGAGCUUGAUUGCAAGACAUACAGGUCGAGCAAGGAUGAAAAUCGGACUUAGUGAUCCGGUGGUUCUGCGUGGAAGGGCCAUCGCUCAACGGAUAAAAGCUACCCUGGGGAUAACAGGCUUAUCUCCCCCAAGAGUCCACAUCGACGGGGAGGUUUGGCACCUCGAUGUCGGCUCAUCACAUCCUGGGGCUGUAGUAGGUCCCAAGGGUUGGGCUGUUCGCCCAUUAAAGUGGUACGCGAGCUGGGUUCAGAACGUCGUGAGACAGUUCGGUCCCUAUCCGUCGCAGGCGUAGGAAAUUUGAGAAGACCUGUCCUUAGUACGAGAGGACCGGGAUGGACGUACCUCUGGUGUACCAGUUGUCCUGCCAAGGGCAUGGCUGGGUAGCUAUGUACGGAAUGGAUAAGCGCUGAAAGCAUCUAAGCGCGAAGCCAACUUCAAGAUAAGAUUUCCCACCGCAAGGGUAAGACCCCAGAAAGACUAUCUGGUUGAUAGGUCGAAGGUGUAAGUGCAGCAAUGUAUUUAGCUUAUCGAUACUAAUAGGUCGAGGACUUGACCAA
rnacentral:rRNA from 1 species